rnacentral:antisense_RNA from 1 species
ACUAGGAAGGUGGGACGUUGGAGGGGCGGCCGCAUGGCGUGAUUACUGUCUCUGGCCACCGAGCAGAGCCAGUGACAGCAGCGUUCUGGUAGGCAGGCAGGCGUAUCAGGUUUCAGAGGAUGCGGCUGGGAACGGGAGUAGAGGUGAGGGGUCGUUGCAUCUGUCGCGGUGUGUAUCUUUUGGGGGUUCAGCGCCACCAGCGACUUGGGCCUCAUUCAUCGCGCUUACAAUUCUCCACCUCAUUUGAAGAACAAGCUUCGUAGCCCACGGAGCUGAGGUAUAUGAGCUCCCUGAAAGCACAAAGCAGUUAUUUCCAUCUUCAGAUCAUUCAGAGAUUAUGAAGGCACAAACCCUGCCUUCAAUUUGCUUAUAGUCAAGUGGAGCAGACACAAGUAAAUGAUUGCAGUAUAGCCACUUAAGUAAUCUAAAAGAGGUGGGGAGGCCACAGCUUGUAUGAAUGACUUUCUCAGGAGUUAUAAAGUGAUACAGACUUAUCAGCAGGUUGCAGGUGAACAUGGCCUUGAGGUAAAUCUGUCCCUUGCUGAAUACAGUUUCAGUAGAUUGUUUAUAGUAGUUUCAGGAAUUGAGAUUUUUUACAAAAAUACAAAAGUUUUGCUUGGUUCUGUUCUAGAUGUUUUCUUCUAAAUAAAUGAGAAAGAUGUUUCAACAAAGGCUCUUUAUGCUGAAUAAUUGUGAUGCUUGAAGUUGCUAAUCUGCUUUAAGUGGAUUUUAAAUGUCAGGCAAUUCUAGACAGUUUUUUCUUGGUCAAAUAAAAAUUUAAUUAAAACUU